CUACAGUCCCAAACACUGAGCCUACUCUCUUCACUUCUAAACAAGCAGGCGUACAACAACAUGAAUCAACAACAAGAAGGCUGGCGUGAACCCAGAGUUUGAAGACAGACUCAAAGUGGUUUUCACAUUCACAACCCCUUUUCAUAAGAAGAAACCAGAAGGGUCAAAGACAGAUGUCAAGGUGCCUGCUGGCUGCUAAUGAAAUGGAUGUAGAAUUUUCAGCUCCUUGUUCAGUACCAUGUCUGCCUGUGUACCUAUAUACUUCCCACCAUGAUAAUAACAGAAUAAAACUCAAAACCUGAAAGGUAUCCCAAAUUAAAUGUUUUCCUUUAUAAGACUUAAUGUGGUCAUGGUGUCUCUUCACAGCAAUAGAAAUCCUAACUAAGAUGCUCAAAAAAUGUCAUUGUUAUUAUUCUUUUUAUUUUUUAUGUAUUUUAUGUGUAUAUAUUUUGCCUGGGUGUAUAAUGUGUAUCAUGUAUAUGACUGCUGCCCAUAGAAGUCAGAGGUCACUGGACCUCCGGAAGCUAGAGGGUUAUGAGCUGCAUAUG